GACGAACGCUGGCGGCGUGCUUAACACAUGCAAGUCGAGCGGGUAAGGCCCUUUCGGGGGUACGACGAGCGGCGAACGGGUAGGAGUAACACGUGGGUGACCUCGCCCUCAGCUCUGGGAUAAGCCGUGGGAAACCGGGUCUAAUACUGGAUAUGACUCCAUGACGCAUGUUGUGGGGUGGAAAGCCUUGUGCGGCUGAGGAUGGGCCCGCGG
rnacentral:rRNA from 1 species